rnacentral:tRNA from 1 species
AAGUAAGAAGUGAACCAUCACAGUCAGUUUCGACCUGACCAAGCGGGUAAAAUUACCCUUACUUU